rnacentral:rRNA from 1 species
CAUCGGCGUAAAGAGUGGUUAAGUUAAAAUUCACACUAAAGCCGAACGUCCUCCAGGCUGUUAUACGCACCCGAAGAUAAGAAGUUCAAUCACGAAAGUGGCUUUAUUUAAUCUGAACCCACGAAAGCUACGGCACAAACUGGGAUUAGAUACCCCACUAUGCCUAGCCCUAAACAUUGAUAGUACCCUACGCCCACUAUCCGCCCGGGAACUACGAGCAUCAGCUUGAAACCCAAAGGACUUGGCGGUGCUUUAGAUCCACCUAGAGGAGCCUGUUCUAGAACCGAUAACCCCCGUUCAACCUCACCUUUCCUUGUUUUUUCCGCCUAUAUACCGCCGUCGUCAGCUUACCCUGUGAAGGACUAAUAGUAAGCAAACUGGUAA